rnacentral:lncRNA from 1 species
AUGCAGAUCAAGCACACAGCGGACCUUGGUAUUGGAAACGGGACCUUCUUAAAAAAAGAAAAAAAAAAAGAGAAAAAUGUCAAAUUGCUGCUAAGAGAGAAACAAAGCAAGCAGGGCUACACUGUUCACUUUCCAUCAGGAAUACCUCUGGAAGACUGGCAAAAAGGAAGCGGAGAUGACCACGCUGUCAGCUCUGCUGUAAGAGUUACCAGUCUUAACGAUCACCACACCUUGAUUUUUCCUGGACCAAUAGAAAGAAGUGACCGUCUUUUUCACUGCUUCGGGAGCAAAUGGAUAACAUUUUGAAAGACUGUAGCAUUAGACUCAUCUGGGGCAUGAGCUGUUGGCUACAAUGAAAGACACUACAAGUUUCUUAGGCUGUGGUUGGAAAAGUCUUUGAGCAUCUAAUAGCAAGUAAGGUAAGUGGUUAUUUUUCUGCUUUUUUAAAAAAAACUUGUAUUUGAAAGAAAAAUGCUAUUCAAUAUUAUAUUAUACUUACCUUAUUUUAUUUUUACCUUAUU